GAUCUUAUAGUUAAGGAAUAAUUUUAGACUGCAAUUCUGAAGUGGUAGUAAUAACUACUGGGAUCU
rnacentral:tRNA from 1 species